AGAGUUUGAUCAUGGCUCAGAACGAACGCUGGCGGCGUGCCUAACACAUGCAAGUCGAACGCGAAAGGGAGCAAUCCCCGGUAGCGUGGCAGACGGGUGAGUAACACGUGGGUAACCUACCCGGAGGUGGGGGAUAACCCUUCGAAAGGAGGGCUAAUACCGCAUGAUACCGCGGGGACCUCGGUCCUUGCGAUCAAAGCUGGCCUCUGUUUACAAGCUAGCGCCACCGGAUGGGCCCACGCCCCAUUAGCUAGUUGGUGAGGUAACGGCUCACCAAGGCGACGAUGGGUAGCCGGCCUGAGAGGGCGAUCGGCCACACUGGAACUGCGACACGGUCCAGACUCCUACGGGAGGCAGCAGUGAGGAAUAUUGCGCAAUGGGCGAAAGCCUGACGCAGCGACGCCGCGUGGAGGAUGAAGGUCUUCGGAUUGUAAACUCCUGUCGAGUGGGACGAAUGCCGUGAGGGUGAACAAUCCUUGCGGUUGACGGUACCGCUGGAGGAAGCCCCGGCUAACUCCGUGCCAGCAGCCGCGGUA
rnacentral:rRNA from 1 species